UACGUAGGGGGCUAGCGUUGUCCGGAAUCAUUGGGCGUAAAGAGCGUGUAGGCGGUCCGGUAAGUCCGCUGUGAAAGUCGGGGGCUCAACCCUCGAAUGCCGGUGGAUACUGUCGGGCUAGAGUGCGGAAGAGGCGAGUGGAAUUCCUGGUGUAGCGGUGAAAUGCGUAGAGAUCGGGAGGAACAUCUGUGGCGAAGGCGGCUACCUGGACCAACACUGACACUGAGGCACGAAAGCGUGGGGAGCAAACAGG
rnacentral:rRNA from 1 species